rnacentral:misc_RNA from 1 species
AAGUCGUAACAAGGUUUCCGUAGGUGAACCUGCGGAAGGAUCAUUACAAAUCCUGCCCACAACGUCCACCCGUGCGCGUCGCCGCUGCACGGGCCGACCUCGUUGACCUGUUCUCUGUCUCUCCCCCCUGGCUGGCUGGUUAGCUAGCUGGCUGGCGGGGGAGGGCCUUUACCGCGACCGAGCGUGCUGGUGUUGAACACGACAUGUAUGUCACUUGCGAACAUGAAAACACAAGGAACAACUUAUAACAAUGGAUCUCUAGGCUCUU